CCUACGGGUGGGCAGCAGUGGGGAAUAUUGGACAAUGGGCGAAAGCCUGAUCCAGCCAUGCCGCGUGUGUGAAGAAGGCCUUCGGGUUGUAAAGCACUUUCAGUGGGGAAGAAAGCCUUGGGGCUAAUACCCUCGAGGAAGGACAUCACCCACAGAAGAAGCACCGGCUAACUCCGUGCCAGCAGCCGCGGUAAUACGGAGGGUGCGAGCGUUAAUCGGAAUUACUGGGCGUAAAGCGCGCGUAGGCGGUCUGAUAAGCCGGUUGUGAAAGCCCCGGGCUCAACCUGGGAACGGCAUCCGGAACUGUCAGGCUAGAGUGCAGGAGAGGAAGGUAGAAUUCCCGGUGUAGCGGUGAAAUGCGUAGAGAUCGGGAGGAAUACCAGUGGCGAAGGCGGCCUUCCGGACUGACACUGACGCUGAGGUGCGAAAGCGUGGGUAGCAAACAGGAUUAGAUACCCUAGUAGUC
rnacentral:rRNA from 1 species